rnacentral:rRNA from 1 species
GUCUCUUUGUUAAUAAUAGAUGGAGAGUCGGGCCUGCUCGGUGAUUGAUUUUUAACAGCUGCGGUAUUUUAACUGUACUAAGGUAGCAUAAUAAUUUGCCUUAUAAUUUGAGGCUAGAAUGAAUGGUUUGACGAAGGUUAAUCUGUCUCUAUCCUAUUUUUUAGAAAUUAAUUUUUAAAGUGAAAAAGCUUGGAUUUUUUAAAGGGACGAGAAGACCCUAUUGAGCUUAUAAUUUUAUCUUUAUUUUUAAUAUUAGUAAAUAAAGUAUAAAUUUUAAUUGGGGUGAUUAAGGAAUAAGAAGUAUUAAUAACUUCCUUAGAUUUAAUAUUGUUAGAUAAAGUAACCAAUAUAAUAUUGCUUAUAAUAUAGUUACCAUAGGGAUAACAGCGUAAUUUGUUUAGAGAGUUCUUAUUGAAAAACAAGAUUGCGACCUCGAUGUUGGAUUAAAGUAACCUUAAGGUGCAGAAGCUUUAGAAAGGUAAAUCUGUUCGAUUUUUAAAACUUU